UGCUGGAAUGCACCGAGAUUUAAAGCUCCGGCGCCUAAGGAUGGGUCUGCGGCCUAUCAGGUAGUAGUGGGUGUAGCGUACCUACUAGCCUACGACGGGUACGGGUUGUGAGAGCAAGAGCCCGGAGAUGGAUUCUGAGACACGAAUCCAGGCCCUACGGGGUGCAGCAGGCGCGAAAACUUUACAAUGCUGGCAACAGCGAUAAGGGAACCUCGAGUGCCAGGUUACAAAUCUGGCUGUCGAGAUGCCUAAAAAGCAUUUCAUAGCAAGGGCCGGGCAAGACCGGUGCCAGCCGCCGCGGUAACACCGGCGGCUCGAGUGGUAACCGUUAUUAUUGGGUCUAAAGGGUUUGUAGCCGGCCGGAUAAGUCUCUUGAGAAAUCUGGCAGCUUAACUGUCAGGCUUUCAGGAGAUACUGUCUGGCUCGAGGCCGGGAGAGGUGAGAGGUACUUCAGGGGUAGGGGUGAAAUCUUGUAAUCCUUGAAGGACCACCAGUGGCGAAGGCGUCUCACCAGAACGGACCUGACGGCAAGGGACGAAAGCUAGGGGCACGAACCGGAUUAGAUACCCGGGUAGUCCUAGCCGUAAACGAUACUCGCUAGGUGUCGGCCACGGUGCGACCGUUGUCGGUGCCGUAGGGAAGCCGUGAAGCGAGCCACCUGGGAAGUACGGCCGCAAGGCUGAAACUUAAAGGAAUUGGCGGGGGAGCACCACAACGGGUGGAGCUUGCGGUUUAAUUGGAUUCAACGCCGGAAAUCUUACCGGGACCGACAGCAAUAUGAAGGCCAGGCUGAAGACUUUGCCGGAUUAGCU
rnacentral:rRNA from 1 species